UGGGGAAUAUUGCACAAUGGAGGGAACUCUGAUGCAGCGACGCCGCGUGAACGAAGAAGGCUUUCGAGUCGUAAAGUUCUUUUAUAUGGGAAGAUAAUGACGGUACCAUAAGAAAAAGCCCCGGCUAACUACGUGCCAGCAGCCGCGGUAAUACGUAGGGGGCUAGCGUUGUCCGGAAUCACUGGGCGUAAAGGGUUCGCAGGCGGAAAUGCAAGUCAGGUGUAAAAGGCAGUAGCUUAACUACUGUAAGCAUUUGAAACUGCAUAUCUUGAGAAGAGUAGAGGUAAGUGGACUUUUUAGUGUAGCGGUGAAAUGCGUAGAUAUUAAAAAGAAUACCGGUGGCGAAGGCGGCUUACUGGGCUCAUUCUGACGCUGAGGAACGAAAGCGUGGGUAGCAAACAGG
rnacentral:rRNA from 1 species